AGGUCACUCUGUGUCCUGUCCCAGCUCGGGUCUGAGCCCAGGACAUGGCGGAGGUGGAGGGGAGGUGCACAGGGGAGCGUCCCCCAUGAGGAGGCCGAGGCAGACGGAGCUCCCUGCCCGGGGCUCCCACCCAGACAUCUCCCACGGAGCUAAGAGGAGAGGGGCACGGGAGACACAGGAGAAGCAGAGACAAUCAACACAUCACAGAAUAAUUCAGAGCCCAACACAGCCUCACAGCCUCAGGAUUACACCAUGGAGAACCUCAUCCGCAUGGGCCUGGCUGGCCUGGUCCUGGUGGCCCUGGGGAUUCUGCUCUUCAAGGAUCAGUGCAGUCAGAGAAGGACCCAAGAUGCAGCCGGGAGAUGAAGAAAUAGCAGUCAGUGCUUGCUGAAACCCCUGUGGAUGGUAUCAGUCUAUCCCACCCAGCAGUAUGGCACAUGGAUGCAAAAUAAAGACAAAAGGAGAAAGUUCUGCAGUUGAGGAGCUCC
rnacentral:lncRNA from 1 species